CCUACGGGAGGCAGCAGUGGGGAAUAUUGGGCAAUGGGCGAAAGCCUGACCCAGCAAUGCCGCGUGAAUGAAGAAGGUCUUAGGAUUGUAAAAUUCUGUCCUAUGGGAAGAAAAAAAUGACGGUACCAUAGGAGGAAGCCCCGGCUAACUACGUGCCAGCAGCCGCGGUAAUACGUAGGGGGCGAGCGUUGUCCGGAAUCACUGGGCGUAAAGGGCGCGUAGGCGGUAAUAUAAGUCAGAUGUGAAAGGUGGGGGCUCAACCCCUAGAGUGCAACUGAUACUGUAUAACUUGAGUGUGAGAGAGGGAAGCGGAAUUCCUAGUGUAGCGGUGAAAUGCGUAGAUAUUAGGAGGAACACCAGUGGCGAAGGCGGCUUGCUGGACUGUAAAUGACGCUGAGGCUCGAAAGCGUGGGGAGCAAACAGGAUUAGAUACCCCUGUAGUC
rnacentral:rRNA from 1 species